UAGGGAAUCUUCCACAAUGGGCGCAAGCCUGAUGGAGCAACACCGCGUGAGUGAAGAAGGGUUUCGGCUCGUAAAGCUCUGUUGUUAAAGAAGAACACGUAUGAGAGUAACUGUUCAGGUAUUGACGGUAUUUAACCAGAAAGCCACGGCUAACUACGUGCCAG
rnacentral:rRNA from 1 species